rnacentral:rRNA from 1 species
CCUGAGUAGCGGCGAGCGAAACGGGUAGAAGCUCAAGCUGAAUCUCCCCGCGGAGAAUUGUAGCCUUGGCCCACCGCCAACGUCGUCGGGCGUGUCAUGUGGGGCGAAGUUGUUCGAAGUUGGAACGCGUCAUGCCAGAGAGGGUGAUAGCCCCGUAGCCCCGUGCCUCGCCUUGCGAUCGUGUGGUGACGCCGUCGAGUCGGGUUGCUUGAGAUUACAACCCUAAUGUGGAGGUGAACUCCUUCUGAAGCUGAAUACGAGCACGAGUCCGAUAGAGAACAAGUACCGUGAGGGAAAGUUGAAAAGAACUCUGGAGAGAGAGUGCAAAGACAAUGAAAUCGUUGCCGAGGAAGGGUAUCUCGUUGCACGCGACUGGUGAAAGAUAGAGCUUCGGUUACCCGUAAAGGCGUACGGUAAUGCUUCGGCUACGGCUGACAUUUGCCCGCUUCCCGUUGCUAUCACAUGAGGUCGGCCCCCUGGGCGACCGGGAACCACGCGCAUGUUCGUGUGAGUGCAUUUGCCGCGGCAUCUGCAGUUCGGCACUGUUCACUGCGCAGGGUGGUUGUGCCCGAGAGUUUGCUUCCCGGUCCCCGGAUGGUAGCAUGGAUCCGGGGUUUUGUGCGAGAGAUACCACC